UAACCUCAAUAGUCGUCAACUUUUGUGCUUGAUAUCUCGAUUCUCGGGGCGGAGCAACAGUUUUUUCUGCUAGAUUCGUUUGUUUCAUGUGAAAACGCGUUGAAUUAGCCUAAUUUCGUCAAAAUCGAAGAUGCUGGUGGUUCAUUUAUGUGAAGCAUAAGGCAUACAAAAUCCAGAUCUAGGUAUUCUUCAAAACCAUCAAGUAGUUAUAGUUCGGUCCUUGUGGCGCGGUGUGGUUGAUGCUUUAAGGGAGGAUUUUAUAAACGACAUGCACAUCUUGGCUGAAAUACGGGACGUCAAUAUCGCCAGGAUAAUUACGAUCGUUGAGCAGGAACCUUUUAGUGCCAUUUUUGAAUAUGGAGAACUCGGAGAUCUGUCAAGUUUUCUAAAAAGUUGCGAUCGCGACGCGCCGAUAAGUUACGAAUGCUCCUUAAAUCGACACAAAUUGUUUCGAGUAUGAAGUACCUUGAAAGUUUGAACGUACCGCAUUGCGAUCUAGCAGUCAGAAAUUGCAUCGUUUGUAAAGAUCUGCUAAUUUGAUCAGGCUAUGUACUGCAGUAAAUACGAUGGCUAGUAUUACGUCAACGAAUAUUAUGCAAAGAUACCAUUACGUUGGAUGGCAUGGGAAGCGGUCCUAUCGGAAAAACAAAGUUGUCAGUCCGACGUUUGGUCAUACGGCGUGACAGUUUGGGAAGUGCUGACGCGUUGCGAAGACAUACCGUACGCUGACCUGACCUCAGAACAGGUGUUAGAGAACUGCGGCCUCUAGUACUCGUUAAACAACGGCAGUAAGAAGAAACGUCCGCGGAUCCUCGAGCAACCAAUGUUCUGCGCAGAUGAUCUGUACCGGUUGAUGCUACGAUGUUGGUGCAAACUUGCGGAGGAUCGGCCUAGUUUCCAGGAGAUUUACUGCUACCUCAAGAAGCUGACUCUGGAUUAAGUGUGUGUGCAAAUGCAAAUGCAUCUCUGCCGAAAGAACAUACGAAAAACGACCCAUACUUCAGCAGCAGCAGCAGGAGCAGCAGCAGCCGCAGCGACAGCGACAGCGACAGCGGCGGCGGCGGCGGCGGCAGCGGCGGCGCGGACCAAAUCAAUUACAAUCAGCUAAGAAGCAUCCUGAUUUCUUUUUUCAUCACUUUCGCAGAUGACUCGAACUAAUCGAGCGAAUUGAAUUAAAUCGUGAAGUCGUGAAUGCCUAAACACACCAACGUGGGAUGCUCUCAGGCCAGCCAUCAUAUUGGCCUAGUUUACACCGAGUACUUGAUACGCGUACUAACUUGUAACUUUUUAUUAAAUUAUCUUGCUUUCG
rnacentral:lncRNA from 13 species